GCGUCGAUAGUGCAACGGUUCAGAACACGCUCCCGGAAAGAGUGGGAUCUGAGUUCAAAUCCCGGCGGACGCA